rnacentral:misc_RNA from 1 species
UGCCGGCCGACACUGCGGU